AUGAAGAACGCAGCGAAAUGCGAUACGUAAUGUGAAUUGCAGAAUUCAGUGAAUCAUCGAAUCUUUGAACGCAUAUUGCGCUCUUUGGUAUUCCGAAGAGCAUGCUUGUUUGAGUAUCAGUAAACACCUCAAAAGAUUUUCAUUUUUGAAAUGAUUUUGGACUUGAGCAAUCCCAACACCAGUCUUCACGGAUCGGCGGAGGGUUGCUUGAAAUGCAGGUGCAGCUGGACAUUCUCCUGAGCUAAAAGCAUAUCUAUUUAGUCCCGUCAAACGGAUUAUUACUUUUGCUGCAGCUAACAUAAAGGGAGUUUGACCAUUUUGGCUGACUGAUGCAGGAUUUCACAAGGGUCGGUAAAACGAUUUUUGUAAAACUCGAUCUCAAAUCAAGUAAGACUACCCGCUGAACUUAAGCAUAUCAAUAAGCGGAGGA
rnacentral:misc_RNA from 1 species